rnacentral:pre_miRNA from 1 species
AGAGGAAUGGAUAGAUCAUAUGGUAGGUGUAUGUUUAACUUUUUAAGAAACUGAUGAACUGUUUUCCAAAGUGACUGUGCCAUUUUAUAUUCCUAUCAGCAGU